GUGAGAUUGGUGAAGUGGUUAUCACUCGAGUUUGUGGUACUCGCGUCAUGGGUUCAAUUCCCAUAUCUCACC
rnacentral:tRNA from 1 species